rnacentral:lncRNA from 1 species
CUUGGAUAAGCUGGUGAGAGAGUUAGGUGUAAAGGGGAACUAUACUGUCUGGUAUGUUGUGGUUGGUGGACAGCUCAAAGAUGGUCUUAAAGCAAUUAAAACCCUUAGGGAUGUGGUAAGGUUCAUAAGUGAGUAUAAAGAUGAGAAGAGUGUGACUUUUUACUUGGAACAUCUUGAUGUAACUGAGCUUGAUGCAAGAUAUGAGGAUGAGGAGCAUUCAUAUUCCCCUUUUGAAUCUGAUAGUGGAGCAGAUCCUGAGUUUGUAGCAGCUGAAGGUGAUGAACUUGAAAGUGAUAGUGUUGAUGGGGUGUCUCUGAAUGAUAGUGACUAUGAUGAGGGCUUUGACUGGACAGAUGUGUUGCCUGACCAACUAAUAAAUCCUGCACCUGUGGUUACUUCAUAUGUUCCAUCUUUGGGGGCUUCUGAAAGAUCAAAGAAUUCUGAUGCAACAAGACUUGAAGAUUUUGAUGAUGAGAAUGGAGAUUCAUCUGAUUUAG